rnacentral:rRNA from 1 species
AGAGUUUGAUCCUGGCUCAGAACGAACGCUGGCGGCAGGCUUAACACAUGCAAGUCGAACGCCCCGCAAGGGGAGUGGCAGACGGGUGAGUAACGCGUGGGAACGUACCUUUCGGUUCGGAAUAGCUCCGGGAAACUGGAAUUAAUACCGGAUACGCCCUUCGGGGGAAAGAUUUAUCGCCGAUAGAUCGGCCCGCGUCUGAUUAGCUAGUUGGCGGUGUAAUGGACCACCAAGGCGACGAUCAGUAGCUGGUCUGAGAGGAUGAUCAGCCACACUGGGACUGAGACACGGCCCAGACUCCUACGGGAGGCAGCAGUGGGGAAUAUUGGACAAUGGGCGCAAGCCUGAUCCAGCCAUGCCGCGUGAGUGAUGAAGGCCCUAGGGUUGUAAAGCUCUUUCGGCGGGGACGAUAAUGACGGUACCCGCAGAAGAAGCCCCGGCUAACUUCGUGCCAGCAGCCGCGGUAAUACGAAGGGGGCUAGCGUUGUUCGGAAUCACUGGGCGUAAAGCGCACGUAGGCGGAUCGUUAAGUCAGGGGUGAAAUCCCGAGGCUCAACCUCGGAACUGCCUUUGAUACUGGCGAUCUUUGAGUCCGGGAGAGGUGAGUGGAACUCCGAGUGUAGAGGUGAAAUUCGUAGAUAUUCGGAAGAACACCAGUGGCGAAGGCGGCUCACUGGCCCGGUACUGACGCUGAGGUGCGAAAGCGUGGGGAGCAAACAGGAUUAGAUACCCUAGUAGUCC